AUCAAGAUGGCAGAUUAGUGCAAUAGAUUUAAACUCUAUAUAUGAACAUAGUUCUCUUGAUA
rnacentral:tRNA from 1 species